UGCGUAGGCGGAAUGAUAAGUUAGUGGUGAAAGCCCCCGGCUCAACCGGGGAACUGCCAUUAAUACUGUCAUUCUUGAGUAUAGUUGAAGUGGGCGGAAUGUAUCAUGUAGCGGUGAAAUGCUUAGAUAUGAUACAGAACACCGAUAGCGUAGGCAGCUUGCUAAACUAUAACUGACGCUCAGGCACGAAAGCGUGGGGAGCAAACAGGAUUGGAUACCCUGGUAGUCC
rnacentral:rRNA from 1 species